UCCUUGUUAGCUCAGUUGGUAGAGCGUUCGGCUUUUAAGCAUUGCUCGCAAGGGACCGAAAUGUCAGGGGUUCGAGCCCCCUAUGAGGAG
rfam:Lachancea fermentati genome assembly, chromosome: E